rnacentral:rRNA from 1 species
UACGGAGGGUGCAAGCGUUAAUCGGAAUUACUGGGCGUAAAGCGUGCGUAGGCGGUUCGUUAAGUCUGUUGUGAAAGCCCCGGGCUCAACCUGGGAAUGGCAAUGGAUACUGGCGAGCUAGAGUGUGUCAGAGGAUGGUGGAAUUCCCGGUGUAGCGGUGAAAUGCGCAGAUAUCGGGAAGAACACCCGUGGCGAAGGCGGCUCUCUGGGACGGUACUGACGCUGAGACGCGAAAGCGUGGGGAGCAAACGGG